rnacentral:rRNA from 1 species
ACCCGCACAAGCAGCGGAGCGUGUGGUUAAUUCGAGGCUACACGAAGAACUUACCAGGGUUUGACAUGCAAGUGGUAGGAAUCCGAAAGGUGACCGACCCUUCGGGGAGCUUGCACAGGUGCUGCAUGGCUGUCGUCAGCUCGUGUCGUGAGAUGUUCGGUUAAGUCCGCUAACGAGCGCAACCCUCGUCGUGUGUUAUACGUGUCACACGAUACUGCCGGUAUCAAGCCGGAGGAAGGUGGGGAUGAUGUCAAGUCAGCAUGGCCUUUAUAUCCUGGGCUACACACACGCUACAAUGGCAGAUACAAUAGGUUGCGAAACCGCGAGGUGGAGCCAAUCCUCAAAGUCUGUCUCAGUUCAGAUUGUAGGCUGCAACUCGCCUGCAUGAAGUUGGAGUUGCUAGUAAACGCAGGUCAGCUAUACUGCGUUGAAUACGUUCCCGGGGUUU